UCACAAAGUGAUGGACCCGCUCAACGAUGCUGCUUGGAGGCGGACGAGUGUUGAAAAUACGGUAGAUGACGGUGGAAAGAGCAGAACACAACGCCACCUUGCGUACAUCCUCCGGCGGUGAACCGUUCUCAUCCUCACUGGAAAGCUUAUCCGUCUUCGCCUCGGCCAGCUUGUCGUCCGUGGGUCCGUAAAUGGUUCCCAGGCCGGCGGUGCGCUUCUGCUGAAACUCACGCAGCUGCUCACUGAUUAGGUCCUUGGCCCGCUUUCGGCUACGCAGAAAAACUGUCCUUAGGAUCUCCACUUUGUCAUACUCCAACUGCAGGACAUUAUCCACCUCGCGGGCCAGCGAUUCAUCUUGGCGAUACCAUGACAAUGGAGCCCGCGGCACGAGGAAUGUGGAGUGGAUUUCGUAGGCCCAUUUCCGCAUGUCCUUGGAGGUGCCCUCCUUGUACAACUCAGUAAUCAGGUAAAACAGAAGUGGCGCGGGAUCCGAGUUUGAGAUCACGUAGUUUAGGAAGAUGGCUAGGAAAGUGACGUUCUCGGCCUCUAACAAACGAGUUAGAUUGUUAAAGGGUCCGUUCUCGUCAAUGAAGGGCUCAUCCAAGUCCGAGUUUUCGUCCUCCAUCGAGAUGAUCUCCUUCUGCGUAUCGUUCGACUGGGCCGCAUGCAUGUGGCUGGAAUGUAAGGAUAUCGGGAUCGGAGAAGAGGCUCCCGCCAUCGGCGUAAACUGAUGCGACUCGAUAAAGACUCCAGGUCCGGCUGCUGCUGCUCCACGAUUGUUCUCAUUCGGAUCUUCCAGCACGGUCAUGUGGGAGCUGGAUAGAUAUGGAGGCGGCGGUGUUCCGGGCGGGGAGGAUUCGCCAUCCUUUUCAACAAUCUCCCACGAGCCCGAAGUCGUUUUCGUUAUCCGAUCUAUUGAUGAUUUCAUAUGUACAUAGGUUUACAUUACAUUACAAAAACGUAAAUCCAAUUGUAUCAUACCUGGAUGACGUGGAUGCAUAUUGUCCGGUGAAGAACCAACGCGUCGAUGCUUGUUUUUUCCCAAAUUCGGAGUCUGUCCCAGAGCCUGUGAAGGUAGAGGCGUAUAGAAAUUAAACUGCCAGGAUAAAUAAUAUUUGGCCCAAAUUACACAUGAAAUAAGAAGUAAUUUAACCUGUAAAUAGCUUUUCAAAAUCUACAUCUCCGAUG
ensembl:ncRNA asRNA:CR45144 antisense RNA:CR45144